UACGGAGGAUGCGAGCGUUAUCCGGAUUUAUUGGGUUUAAAGGGUGCGUAGGCGGGCUUUUAAGUCAGCGGUAAAAAUUCGGGGCUCAACCCCGUCCGGCCGUUGAAACUGGGGGCCUUGAGUGGGCGAGAAGAAGGCGGAAUGCGUGGUGUAGCGGUGAAAUGCAUAGAUAUCACGCAGAACCCCGAUUGCGAGGGCAGCCUUCCGGCGCCCUACUGACGCUGAGGCACGAAAGUGCGGGGAUCGAACAGG
rnacentral:rRNA from 1 species